CACUUUGUUCUCUAAUUCUCACCUCGUGGUCUAGUAUUUUCUCAUCUUUCUUUUUCUUAGCUUCAUCAUUUUCCAUAAUUAUAUCUUAUAUAUCACUUAUUCUCUCCUAUGCUUCCUCCAUUCUUGACAUCACUGCAUCUAGUUUAUUUUGCACAUCAUUUACAAGAUU